rnacentral:rRNA from 1 species
AAACCAACAGGGAUUGCCUCAGUAACGGCGAGUGAAGCGGCAAAAGCUCAAAUUUGAAAUCCUUCGGGAAUUGUAUUUUGAAGGUGGGUUUGGUUAGGAAAAGAUACUUUAAGUCCAUUGGAAAAUGGCGCCAUGGAGGGUGAUAGCCCCGUAAAAGUCCCCCUUUUCCUUCUAUCCAUUCCCUCCAAAGAGUCGAGUUGUUUGGGAAUGCAGCUCUAAGUGGGUGGUAAAUUCCAUCUAAAGCUAAAUAUUGGCGAGAGACCGAUAGCGAACAAGUACAGUGAUGGAAAGAUGAAAAGCACUUUGAAAAGAGAGUGAAAAAGUACGUGAAAUUGUUGAAAGGGAAGGGCUUGCAAGCAGACACAACCUCGGUUGGGCCAGCAUCGGAGUGGGGGGAGACAAAAAAGAAAAGGAAUGUAACUCUUUCGAGUAUUAUAGCCUUCUCUCAUAUCUCCACCCCCUUCCGAGGCCUGCGAUUCUUCAAGGAUGCUGGCGUAAUGGUUGCAAGUCGC